rnacentral:rRNA from 1 species
GCACAAGCAGCGGAGCGUGUGGUUUAAUUCGAUGUUACACGAAGAACCUUACCAGGGUUUGACAUGCAAGUGGUAGGAAGCCGAAAGGUGACCGACCCUUCGGGGAGCUUGCACAGGUGCUGCAUGGCUGUCGUCAGCUCGUGUCGUGAGAUGUUCGGUUAAGUCCGCUAACGAGCGCAACCCUCGCUGUGUGUUAUAUGUGUCACACGGGACUGCCGGUCUUAAGCCGGAGGAAGGUGGGGAUGAUGUCAAGUCAGCAUGGCCUUUAUAUCCUGGGCUACACACACGCUACAAUGGCCAACACAAUAGGUUGCUAAGCCGCGAGGUGGCGCCAAUCCAUAAAGUUGGUCUCAGUUCAGAUUGUAGGCUGCAACCCGCCUGCAUGAAGAUGGAGUUGCUAGUAAUCGCGGAUCAGAAUGCCGCGGUGAAUGCGUUCCCGGGUCUU